rnacentral:misc_RNA from 1 species
UACAUGAAUUACUAUAUAUAAAGAAAAAAAAUUUUUAAAUGUAAAAAAAAAAUUGUCAAAACAUUUUAAAAAGUAAAAAAGAUGGCAACAAGUUAUGGUAAAGAAUUGCGCACAUCCAAGCAUACAUAUGUACAUACGUAAAAACAAGCGAUAAUGUGCCCAGUGCAUACAAUAUACAUAUACAUAUGUAUGUAGUAUAUGUGUAUGUAAAUAUAUAUACAUAUGAUAUGUACGUGAAUAUUGCCGAAAUUUGUUAGCAAAUAUUUACUGAAAUUAUUGUGAUAAAGUAGUAGAACGACAAGCAAGCAUAAAUAUGUAGUAGAAAGUAAUGUUGUAAAAUGUAAGAUUGAGGCAGUAGGGAAACAGCAAACGAAUUCUCCAAAAAAAGCAACACACAAUGUCAACUAAGCAUGUACACAAACACACAUACAUACGUGUAUUUGCAGAGAAGCGGACAACAUCGUCCGAGAGCGCAACGCGUGGCAGCCACUGUCGUGUGUAGAACUUAACGCUGGAGCUUGGUGUCCUGGAUUAAUUACACAUACACAUGCAUAUACCGAUAUAUAUGUAUGUAUAUAACUACAUAUAUGUGCAUGCAUAGGUGUGUGCAGUGCAGUUUGAGGUCGUUAAAUUUUGUGUAGUACUAAAAAAUACAACAACACACAACCACACAUGUACCAGUGCAAUAACAGCAACAACAAUACUGAACUCUUGAUUUUUUUGGCAAGAUUGCUUCGGUUCACAAUUCUUCGCCGCCUGCGUUGAGGCACUACAACUGCACGAAGAAAUGGACAAAUACAAUGAGUGGCGUUUCACACUUGGCAAGAAGUAAAGUGUUCCACAAUUGACGCUUUACUCUAUCCCACCACACCCCCAUGUUGAUGACGACCAACGUAAGAUAUUCAGGCGGAGGCUGCGUGAAGAGCGACGAGUGUGUAUGGAUUGCCUGUUUAUGUUUGCUUUUGUUUGGAUGAUGAUGACGACGACUAGGACCAGAACACUGGAUUAUGUUAUGUUAAAAAAAAAACAACAACAAAAUUAGAGAUAUCAAUAAAUAUAAAGUUUAAUCAUAUAAUAAUUGCUGGUUAUGACCAUGAGAACGAUAAGGAUAAUGAUUACAACAAUAAUGACAACAACAAUAGCAGCAGCCAAGCAUGAAUUUUGUAUAUGGCUUAAUAUGAAUAUUGCGAAAAGAUUUGUAUUGAAUUUUAAAAUAAAAUAUGACGAAAAAAAAAUUGAAAAAAACUAUGAGAACAAAUGCAUAUUAUCAAUGAGAUUUUAUUAAAAUAUACAUAAUUAAAAAUAUUUAGAAAAAAAACUCAAUUAUUCAAAUUUCAAUUUCAAACACAUCUAACCAACUAAAAUUUGUUCGUUGAUGUUCUUUAAUGUCUGUGCAAAGCAAAAUUUUAGUAAAGCAAAAAUAAAAAAAAAAAUAUAGAAAAAAAUUAAUAAAAAGUUUUAUUCAAUUUGUAGACAUACAUAUGAAAUUAUUUGUGAAUCAAACAAAAAUGGUUUAUGCACAAAAAAUGUUAAAUGUAAGCAUAAUGGUAUUUACAAAUUAAAAGGUUUGAACAGAAAGAAUGAUUCAUUUAGUGUUUUUUUAUUGUAUAAAGUAUACGUCUGCGUUUACUAUAUCCGUCUUCAGUGAUUAAUUUUUUUAUAUCUUUCUUAUUGGAAAUAUUCAUUGCAAAACAAAAAAAAAAA